UUUUGUUAAGGCUAAACAAGUCAAUUCUAAAAAAAAAACUUGCAAUGAUUCCAACGAGGAGUGGUAUUCAAGCAAUUAUAACUUAGGCCUAUGGGCAUGAUAUAGUUUUUAAUAAAGGUUUGAAGGAAAGUAACUGUGACCAGACUAGGGAGCGGAAAAUUAUUUGGGCCUAGGGGCGCAAAAGUGCUAAAUCCGGCCCUGGCAAUCAUGUACGCGACAGGUCUGUCUCUUGUUUUACGUGUUUUUGUGUUUUUAUUGUGUUCGUGUGUGUGUACAGUUUAACGACGCCAAUUCAGGUGGAUGUAUGUAUAUCUGAGGAUGGCAUUUUGAUGCCAAAACAGCUGUAAUCUACAGAAACUUCAGAGCUGUGACGAGACAACUCCAAAAGAUGUAUGGAGGAGGACGCAGGGAGGUCCCCUAAAAUAUUUAAAAAAACUACAACAGCUGGAAAUGAAUGCUGCGUCAGUGGAAAGCACACUUGUGUUUUUCGGCAAGGGCCAGUAUCUUUAACGGCCCUUGCACAUAGUCUGUGCGCCAUGUCAAAAAGCAUUACCAGCAUAAAAAAAGCUAUACAGGAUAGCCACACUGAUAUUAUAAGGAGGCUUCCUGUAUCAGAAAACCCUGCAGCGACGGAACAACCUAGGGCUACUACUGCUGACCCGGAAGAAGAGGGAAGGGAAGAAGACAGUGUAGAUAUUUUUGAUAUGACAUUUCCCUUAAAAUCUAUGGAAGAUUUUAUAUUAUUUGAGGAAAAGUUGAAAGAUAAAAAUUUCAAGAAG